rnacentral:rRNA from 1 species
UACGUAGGGUGCGAGCGUUAAUCGGAAUGACUGGGCGUAAAGGGUGUGUAGGCUGUUUUAUAAGUCUGAUGUGAAAUCCCCGGGCUCAACCUGGGAACUGCGUUGGAUACUGUAAGACUAGAGUACGUAAGAGGGGGGUGGAAUUCCACGUGUAGCAGUGAAAUGCGUAGAGAUGUGGAGGAACACCGAUGGCGAAGGCAACCCCCUGGGACGAUACUGACGCUGAGGCACGAAAGCGUGGGGAGCGAACAGG